rnacentral:rRNA from 1 species
AACGUAGGUGGCGAGCGUUAUCCGGAUUUACUGGGCGUAAAGGGUGUGCAGGCGGGCUGUUAAGUGGUGCAUGAAAUCUCCGCGCUUAACGUGGAGAGGCUGUGCCAGACUGGCAGUCUAGAGUACGAGAGAGGGUUGUGGAAUUCCUGGUGUAGCGGUGAAAUGCGCAGAUAUCAGGAGGAACACCAAUUGCGAAGGCAGCUCGCUGGGACGUUACUGACGCUGAGACGCGAAAGCGUGGGGAGCAAACAGG